CAAUAGCGUAUAUUAAAGUUGUUGCGGUUAAAAAGCUCGUAGUUGGAUUUCUGCUGAGGACGAUCGGUCCGCCCUCUGGGUGAGCAUUGACUCGGCCUUGGCAUCUUCUUGGAGAACGCUACUGCACUUGACUGUGUGGUGCGGUAUCCAGGACUUUUACUUUGAGGAAAUUAGAGUGUUUCAAGCAGGCGCACGCCUUGAAUACAUUAGCAUGGAAUAAUAGGAUAGGACCUUGGUUCUAUUUUGUUGGUUUCUAGAAUUGAGAUAAUGAUUAAUAGGGACAAUUGGGGGCAUUCGUAUCAACACGUUAGAGGUGAAAUUCUUGGAUCGUGUUGCGACGAACUACUGCGAAAGCAUUUGCCAAGGAUGUUUUCAUUGAUCAAGAACGAAAGUAAGGGAUCGAAGACGAUUAGAUACCAU
rnacentral:rRNA from 1 species